GCUAUCUACAGGCUUAACACAUGCAAGUCGAGGGGCAGCAUGGUCUUAGCUUGCUAAGGCCGAUGGCGACCGGCGCACGGGUGAGUAACACGUAUCCAACCUGCCGUCUACUCUUGGACAGCCUUCUGAAAGGAAGAUUAAUACAAGAUGGCAUCAUGAGUCCGCAUGUUCACAUGAUUAAAGGUAUUCCGGUAGACGAUGGGGAUGCGUUCCAUUAGAUAGUAGGCGGGGUAACGGCCCACCUAGUCUUCGAUGGAUAGGGGUUCUGAGAGGAAGGUCCCCCACAUUGGAACUGAGACACGGUCCAAACUCCUACGGGAGGCAGCAGUGAGGAAUAUUGGUCAAUGGGCGAGAGCCUGAACCAGCCAAGUAGCGUGAAGGAUGACUGCCCUAUGGGUUGUAAACUUCUUUUAUAAAGGAAUAAAGUCGGGUAUGCAUACCCGUUUGCAUGUACUUUAUGAAUAAGGAUCGGCUAACUCCGUGCCAGCAGCCGCGGUAAUACGGAGGAUCCGAGCGUUAUCCGGAUUUAUUGGGUUUAAAGGGAGCGUAGAUGGAUGUUUAAGUCAGUUGUGAAAGUUUGCGGCUCAACCGUAAAAUUGCAGUUGAUACUGGAUAUCUUGAGUGCAGUUGAGGCAGGCGGAAUUCGUGGUGUAGCGGUGAAAUGCUUAGAUAUCACGAAGAACUCCGAUUGCGAAGGCAGCCUGCUAAGCUGCAACUGACAUUGAGGCUCGAAAGUGUGGGUAUCAAACAGGAUUAGAUACCCUGGUAGUCCACACGGUAAACGAUGAAUACUCGCUGUUUGCGAUAUACGGCAAGCGGCCAAGCGAAAGCGUUAAGUAUUCCACCUGGGGAGUACGCCGGCAACGGUGAAACUCAAAGGAAUUGACGGGGGCCCGCACAAGCGGAGGAACAUGUGGUUUAAUUCGAUGAUACGCGAGGAACCUUACCCGGGCUUAAAUUGCAGAUGAAUUACGGUGAAAGCCGUAAGCCGCAAGGCAUCUGUGAAGGUGCUGCAUGGUUGUCGUCAGCUCGUGCCGUGAGGUGUCGGCUUAAGUGCCAUAACGAGCGCAACCCUUGUUGUCAGUUACUAACAGGUUCCGCUGAGGACUCUGACAAGACUGCCAUCGUAAGAUGUGAGGAAGGUGGGGAUGACGUCAAAUCAGCACGGCCCUUACGUCCGGGGCUACACACGUGUUACAAUGGGGGGUACAGAGGGCCGCUACCACGCGAGUGGAUGCCAAUCCCCAAAACCUCUCUCAGUUCGGACUGGAGUCUGCAACCCGACUCCACGAAGCUGGAUUCGCUAGUAAUCGCGCAUCAGCCACGGCGCGGUGAAUACGUUCCCGGGCCUUGUACACACCGCCCGUCAAGCCAUGGGAGCCGGGGGUACCUGAAGUGCGUAACCGCGAGGAGCGCCCUAGGGUAAAACUGGUGACUGGGGCU
rnacentral:rRNA from 1 species